UACAGAGGUCUCAAGCGUUGUUCGGAUUCAUUGGGCGUAAAGGGUGCGUAGGUGGCGUGGUAAGUCGGGUGUGAAAUUUCGGAGCUUAACUCCGAAACUGCAUUCGAUACUGCCGUGCUUGAGGACUGGAGAGGAGACUGGAAUUUACGGUGUAGCAGUGAAAUGCGUAGAGAUCGUGAGGAAGACCAGUGGCGAAGGCGGGUCUCUGGACAGUUCCUGACACUGAGGCACGAAGGCCAGGGGAGCAAACGGG
rnacentral:rRNA from 1 species